CCCGCCACCACGCCCGGCUAAUUUUUUGUAUUUUUAGUAGAAACGGGGUUUCACCAUGUUAACCAGGAUGGUCUCUAUCUCCUGACCUCGUGAUCCGCCCGCCUCCGCCUCCCAAAGUGCUGGGAUCGCAGGCGUGAGCCGCCGCGCCCGGCCUUGGCCAUUGUUCUUUCAGGCAGUAUUUUAGCUGUCCUUCGGCGCAGUUGAAGAUUCUGUAACUGGGCGUUUGCCAUUCAAAAUAGGUAGAGUUGCACAUUCAAGAGGGAAACAGUCCUGAGGCAUUCUCACAGAUAAAGGUCCUCGUGGUUCAACAAGAAUGAUAUCCAGAUUGUGCUUCAGAAGUGCUUUGGGUCCACCACCUACUGCAUUUGUGUCACAAUCCCAUUUUCUGCUAAAUA
rnacentral:lncRNA from 10 species